ensembl:misc_RNA Metazoa_SRP Metazoan signal recognition particle RNA
GCCGGGUGUGGUGGUGCAUGCCUGUAAUCCCAGCUACUCGGAAGGCUGAGGCAGGAGAAUCGCUUGAACCCAGGAGGCGGAGGUUGCAGUGAGCCAAGAUCGUCCACUGCACUCCAGCCUGGGUGACAGAGUGAGACUCUGUCUCAA